rnacentral:rRNA from 1 species
GGGCCCGCACAAGCAGUGGAGUAUGUGGUUUAAUUCGAAGCAACGCGAAGAACCUUACCAGGUCUUGACAUCCACAGAACCCUUUGGAGACAGAGGGGUGCCCUUCGGGGAGCUGUGAGACAGGUGGUGCAUGGUUGUCGUCAGCUCGUGUCGUGAGAUGUUGGGUUAAGUCCCGCAACGAGCGCAACCCUUGUCAAUAGUUGCUACGCAAGAGCACUCUAUUGAGACCGCCGUUGACAAAACGGAGGAAGGUGGGGAUGAGGUCAAAUCAUCAUGCCCCUUAUGACCUGGGCUACACACGUACUACAAUGGUCGCCAACAGAGGGAAGCAAGACAGCAAUGUGGAGCAAACCCCUAAAAGCGAUCUCAGUUCAGAUUGCAGGCUGAAACCCGCCUGCAUGAAGAUGGAAUUGCUAGUAAUCGCGGAUCAGCAUGCCGCGGUGAAUACGUUCCCGGGCCUU